ACGGGAGGCAGCAGUGGGGAAUAUUGGGCAAUGGGCGCAAGCCUGACCCAGCAACGCCGCGUGAAGGAAGAAGGCUUUCGGGUUGUAAACUUCUUUUAUAAGGGACGAAACAAAUGACGGUACCUUAUGAAUAAGCCACGGCUAACUACGUGCCAGCAGCCGCGGUAAUACGUAGGUGGCAAGCGUUAUCCGGAUUUACUGGGUGUAAAGGGCGCGUAGGCGGGAAGGCAAGUCAGAUGUGAAAUCCAUGGGCUCAACCCAUGAACUGCAUUUGAAACUGUUUUUCUUGAGUGCUGGAGAGGUAGACGGAAUUCCUUGUGUAGCGGUGAAAUGCGUAGAUAUAAGGAAGAACACCAGUGGCGAAGGCGGUCUACUGGACAGUAACUGACGCUGAGGCGCGAAAGCGUGGGGAGCAAACAGGAUUAGAUACCCUGGUA
rnacentral:rRNA from 1 species